GUAGCUUUCAGUGCUUUGACAAAAUUUCAGAUGCGUGAUAUUCUGGCCAAGCAUCUGUGAUUUCAUAUUGUUGGAGCAUUUGUUGUAUCCCUUAGGCUUGCAGCUGUGGCUGAACCAAGAAAGAAGACAAGUGCAGAUUUCCACAGAAAUAAUUAUUCCAUGAAAGAUUUUGAGGAGAUGAGGAAGGCUGGUAUCUUUCAGACUACAAAGUGA
rnacentral:lncRNA from 1 species